GACGAACGCUGGCGGCGUGCCUAAUACAUGCAAGUCGAACGCAGUUGCGAACGGGUGAGUAACGCGUAGGUACCUGCCCCAUAGCGGGGGAUACCUAUUGGAAACGAUAGCUAAUACCGCAUACUGUGAGCUGGACCUGCGUUGGAGUAGCUAGUUGGUGAGGUAAAGGCUCACCAAGGCGACGAGACAUAUCCGACCUGAGAGGGUGAGCGGCCAAACUGGGACGGAGAAACGGGCCAGACUCCUACGGGAGGCAGCAGUAGGGAAGCGUCGGCAAUGGACGGAAGUCUGACCGAGCAACGCCGCGUGAGUGAAGAAGGUUUUCGGAUCGUAAAGCUCUGUUGUUAGAGAAGCGUUAACUAAACAGAAAGGGACGGCUAACUACGUGCCAGCCGCCGCGGUAAUAC
rnacentral:rRNA from 1 species